AUCCAGCUGACGAGUCCCAAAUAAAAGGAAACGCGCUUCCUGGAU
rnacentral:hammerhead_ribozyme from 1 species